AGUUAUAUAGUAUAGUAGUAGUAUAUAUAUACUUUAUAGAUUUUUAUAUUUAUUCCCUAGAUAUAGUAAUCUAUCUAUAUAAGGUUAUAGGUUUAAUUCCUACUAUAACUA